rnacentral:misc_RNA from 1 species
AAGUCGUAACAAGGUUUCCGUAGGUGAACCUGCGGAAGGAUCAUUAUUGAAAUAAACCUGAUGGGUUGUUGCUGGUUCUCUAGGGAGCAUGUGCACGCCUUGUCAUCUUUAUAUCUCCACCUGUGCACCUUUUGUAGACCUUCCAGGUCUAUGUUGCUUCAUUUACCCCGAUGUAUGUUAAUAGAAUGUUGUGCCUAUAAAAAUAUAUACAACUUUCAGCAACGGAUCUCUUGGCUCUC